AGUCUGAGACCUGAUGCCGAGCCGAUUGUGGUGAAGUGGAUGAUCCUAUGCUGUCGAGAAAAGCCUCUAGCGAGUUUCAUGGCGGCCCGUACCCUAAACCGACUCAGGUGGUCAGGUAGAGAAUACCGAGGCGUUCGGGUGAACUAUGGUUAAGGAACUCGGCAAAAUGCCCCCGUAACUUCGGGAGAAGGGGGGCCAUUCCUGGUGACGGCACUUGCUGUCUGAGCUGGGGGUGGCCGCAGAGACCAGCGAGAAGCGACUGUUUACUAAAAACACAGGUCCGUGCGAAGCCGUAAGGCGAUGUAUACGGACUGACGCCUGCCCGGUGCUGGAACGUUAAGGGGACCGGUUAGCUUGGAUUCGUCCAGGCGAAGCUGAGAACUUAAGCGCCAGUAAACGGCGGUGGUAACUAUAACCAUCCUAAGGUAGCGAAAUUCCUUGUCGGGUAAGUUCCGACCUGCACGAAUGGCGUAACGACUUCUCGACUGUCUCAACCAUAGGCCCGGUGAAAUUGCACUACGAGUAAAGAUGCUCGUUUCGCGCAGCAGGACGGAAAGACCCCGGGACCUUUACUACAGUUUGAUAUUGGUGUUCGGUUCGGCUUGUGUAGGAUAGCUGGGAGACUGUGAAGCCUGGACGCCAGUUCGGGUGGAGUCGUCGUUGAAAUACCAGUCUGGUCGUGCUGGAUGUCUAACCUGGGUCCGUGAUCCGGAUCAGGGACAGUGUCUGAUGGGUAGUUUAACUGGGGCGGUUGCCUCCUAAAGGGUAACGGAGGCGCCCAAAGGUUCCCUCAGCCUGGUUGGCAAUCAGGUGUUGAGUGUAAGUGCACAAGGGAGCUUGACUGUGAGACCGACGGGUCGAGCAGGGACGAAAGUCGGGACUAGUGAUCCGGCGGUGGCUUGUGGAAGCGCCGUCGCUCAACGGAUAAAAGGUACCCCGGGGAUAACAGGCUGAUCUUCCCCAAGAGUCCAUAUCGACGGGAUGGUUUGGCACCUCGAUGUCGGCUCGUCGCAUCCUGGGGCUGGAGUCGGUCCCAAGGGUUGGGCUGUUCGCCCAUUAAAGCGGUACGCGAGCUGGGUUUAGAACGUCGUGAGACAGUUCGGUCCCUAUCCGCUGUGCGCGUAGGAGUCUUGAGAAGGGCUGUCCCUAGUACGAGAGGACCGGGACGGACGAACCUCUGGUGUGCCAGUUGUUCUGCCAAGGGCAUGGCUGGUUGGCUACGUUCGGGAGGGAUAACCGCUGAAAGCAUCUAAGCGGGAAGCCUGCUUCGAGAUGAGGACUCCCACCCACUUGAUGGGGUAAGGCUCCCAGUAGACGACUGGGUUGAUAGGCCGGAUAUGGAAGCCAGGUGACUGGUGGAGUUGACCGGUACUAAUAGGCCGAGGGCUUGUCCUCAGUUG
rnacentral:rRNA from 1 species